rnacentral:misc_RNA from 1 species
UUUUUUCUUGAAAAGUGUGUGAAUACUUUGUCUAAGAGAAGUAUUUUCUGAAUUUAAGUAAGAAAAGGUUAUUUAUUAUUCAAGUUUAGUGACUAUGGACGCUGAAGUCGAAGGCAGCGUUGAAAAUAAUGUACAAUCUGGCGACGAAGCGGCUUCACCAUCUAAAGAUGGUGCGCCUGGGCCUUCUCAGGAAAACAAUUCAACCCCUAAUAUAAAUGGAAAUGCGGGACAAGCAACGCCAGAUACAAGCGAAGGCGAAUCUCAAUGGACUCCAAACAAUCAAAGUGCUGUUGCUGCUAAACCUUUUAGUAUGCCGCCAUUUGGUGGACCACCCGGAUCUUUCCGUGGUGGACGAGGAGGUAUUCAUAUAAUGCCUUUUGGUCGCGGUGGUGCUCGAGGGGGUGGCGGCAAUUUUGGCGGACGCGGGCCGGGAAACUUUGAUCCGAAUUGGCAGGGACAAAAUCAAAAUGGCCCACCAAAUAUGACAAACGGGCCACCACUCGAACUGUGGGUGGAGACUAAGACAGAUGAUGGCAAAUCUUAUUUUUAUCACGCCAUGACACGUGAAACAACAUGGACUAGACCAGAAGGUCAAAAUAUUAAAGUUAUGACUCAAGCAGAAAUUGAGGAAGUGAAUAAAAAACAGCAACCACCUCAGCAGCAAACUCAACAGAAUAACGCACAGCUUGCGGAUGCAAAUGUUAAAGGGCCAGAGCCGGGUGGUCACGCUCAAGGUGGCAUGAUAGAUGCGCAAAAGGAGUUACCCCCCAUGUCGGUUGCUCCACCCAUGAAAGCACCAGAUACAUUGACGCAACAUCCACCACCAAAUAUGAUGUCACAACCACCACCCACACAACAGACCUUGACGCAGCCACCACCAAAUGUAGUACCAAGCGGUGCGCCACCAAUGACACAACAGCCUCCACCUGCAAUGCACCAACAGCCACCUCCAUUCUUUCCACCUGGUAUGCAUCCACCGAAUUUCUCGCAAACUCCAUUUGGAAUGCCUCCUCCUGGUUAUGGUGGUUUUCCUGGUGGACCAGCACCUUGGGGUAUGCCCUGGAAUCAGCACAUGCAUCCACCACACGGUCCGCCGGUGCAAGACAAACCGGCAAAAAAUUUAAUUAUAAAACCUGGUGUAAUUGAUCCUGCUGUAAUUGCACGCGCUGCUGAAUGGUCCGAACAUCGUGCACCUGACGGACGUCCCUAUUACUAUCAUGCCGGUCGCGGCGAGAGCGUUUGGGAGAAACCACAAGCGUUACGCGACAUGGAAGCAGCACGAAUGGCUGCUCAUUCGGGGACAACACCGCAACAGGCAGUGGCGCCCCAAGUCGCACCCACCAUGCCACCACACAUGAUGCCCAAUCCUGCACUUAUGCACAUGACGCCGGCAGCCGGCGGUUAUGAACAGGCUAUGGCAUACAAUGCUGCUGCUGCCGCAGCCGCAGCCGCCGCCGCUGCAGCAGCUGCUGCCAAUCUUAAACCCAUCGAACAAACCAAAGCGGCGCAAGCUGCGGCACUGGAAAAAGAAUCCAGGAAGGUGGCAGAGGAAAAACGAAAGAAAGAGGAGGAGCAACAAAAGAAAGUUACGGCAACAGCAGCAAAACCAGUAGAUAAAUCACGUCCUAUUUCAAGUACUCCCAUUGCUGGUACACCAUGGUGUGUCGUUUGGACAGGUGACGCGAGGGUUUUUUUCUAUAAUCCUUCCACACGCACAUCUGUUUGGGAAAGACCCGACGAUUUGAUAGACCGUGCCGACGUAGACAAAGCAGUCAACAAUCCGCCGGAGCAGUUAAAGGCUGCUGGUAGUGUCGCUGCGGAGAAACAGGUCGAAAAGAUUGAGACAGAGAAGAAAAAAGAGGUUGAAAUUCCCGAGGAAGAGGAAGAAGAAGAGCAAGAAGAUGAUGAAGUUAUCAAAAUACGCACUGAAUCUGAAUCCAGUGUGGAAGAAGUACCAACGAAGAAGUCCCGAUUAUCCGCAAAGCAAACCAGGAAGGCGGAUGCCAACGAAGCAGCCGUAGAAGCCGAGGUACGCGCGGCUAAGGAGCGUGCUGUAGUGCCAUUGGAGACACGUGUCAAACAGUUCAAAGAAAUGUUGCGUGAAAAAGAUGUAUCAGCAUUCAGCACUUGGGAGAAGGAGCUACACAAAAUUGUUUUCGAUCCACGUUACUUGUUGCUAACCUCCAAAGAGCGCAAACAGGUGUUUGAAAAGUACGUUAAAGAUCGCGCCGAAGAGGAACGCAAGGAGAAGCGCAAUAAGAUGCGUCAAAAGCGCGAAGAUUUUCGCAAGCUUAUGGAAGAUGCAAAGCUGCAUGGAAAGUCCUCAUUCAGUGAGUUUUGUCAGCGUUAUGGCAAAGAUGACCGCUAUAAAGCUAUCGAAAAGGUGCGCGAACGUGAGAGCCUCUUUAACGAAUAUAUUGUAGAUGUGCGUCGUCAAGAAAAAGAGGAGAAAAUACAAAAAAAGGAACAGGUAUGUGCGUGUUCCCUUAAAUGCAUGCGGGCCGAGAAUGCGUUUGUUAGCUUAGUUAAUUUGGGUUUUGGGCCGCAGCAAACGUACUUCUUAUUUAAAUAUUUAGUAAUUCGUAUUUUUAAAUGAUUAAUUGAAUUUUUCAUACGUCUCUAUUUGUAUAUACACUUAUUAUAUUGUUAAUGCUUCACAGCAAAGUUUAUACUUUUUAUUUUUUAUAAAAAUUUUCUUCACUCUAAUCUUGAAAUCUCAAAACAAAUCAAACAAAAAAAUCUACCACUACUACUUCAACGCUUAUAAAUAUCGGCUAAACUACGCACGAACAACAAAUUGUCAACCAACUACAAAAAAACAUAGUCAAUUGCAACCAAUCAUGUGAUUAUAGGUCAGCUGCUUGAAGUGUGUUUAAAGCGAAUAUUAUUUUGCUUUGCCGUGUAAAAGUUGGUUGACGUAGAAAAAAAGCAAAAUUGCUAAAUAUCGUUUUUAGGCAGCAGUAUAAACGUAAGGAAAACGCAGCAAAUAAUAUGUAGCAGCGUAACGUGUGACUGAUUGAUAAUUCAUGGUCAUCCAGCUGCCAACGACCGCAUCAAAUUGCAUUGAUCCGCCAGGCAACCAUGUCCAUCCUACUACUACCACCCAUCAACCCAGUGACUUGCCUGUUCGUUAGUACCUUCACGCCUGCUCGGCACGUUUUCCCCAAAUUGUUUGUGUCUAUCUAGCUCGAGCUCGUGGAACGUCGGCACGUCACAUGUUACAUAUUGAAGCUAUUUGGAUGCGCACAGACAAAUGGUGUAUAUUGAUGGAGGGAAAACGCAAUGGACACAUAGAAGACGUAACGGCAUUAGGCAGACGACAAGACAUGCCAAACUCCCAACAGCUGGCAGUUUAGUUAAUGUUGGCGCUCGAGUCUCCAGUCUCUGGUCUCUGAGUGUGGCAGAGCUUGAACUAGAGCGGGAGUGGGAGUUGAGCGAGAAGAGACAGAAACAGUAUGAAUAAAAACUCAAUCUAAACUUCAUACAUUUAGAAUUUUUGUUACAGCCGCAAGUGCAAUAAGCAUUUCAAAAUUCGAUAUUUCACAUUCGUGCCAGAAGUGCAUAUUUUGAAUAUAUAUAUAUAAUAGAUUUUUUUGCUAGUAAAUCAUAAUCUAUGGCACGUGACACUUAUUACCAUUUCAAAAAUGUCAAACGAAUGUGAAAUAUUGACUUUUACUGACGGGCUUUACUUGUAAGUUCAUAAAGUAAAGCAUUCAAUACAUUAUCUAUAUGUAUUCUUAUUAUAUAACACACGUACAUGUCAUUGUUGUCCGUCCGUCCGUCCGUCGACAAAGUGCCCAUACACAUUGCUUCUCUAAUUUAUGACAAUAAUAUUUUUAAUUUUCAGCUCUACACUGUUGGAUUCUCAUAAUUAAGUCAUCAAUAAAUUUCUGUUUCAGCAUUCGACGCCAUUUAAUUAUACUACUAAUCUUGAAACUUCUCUUGCAGCAUAAUUAAUUAUAAUUAUUAUUUAAGUUAUGAUUGUCGACUAUUAAGUUAGUUAGUAAGCGUCAUCUAUAAGCCCCUGUUAUGUGCCUAUAAAAUUAUGGUGUAAGCUAAAACGAAAGCCAAUGCCUGAAAUAGUCUAAUUCUCCAUAUUUGUUUUCUCUCUUUGUAUCUUCCUGACUGCACUUGCUACAUUUAUCCAAAUGCACAUCCCAAAACACAAACUACGUACCUCUAACAAAUUUUAGAUACGCAAAGAUUUCAUAGAAAU